rnacentral:rRNA from 1 species
UACGGAGGGAGCUAGCGUUGUUCGGAAUUACUGGGCGUAAAGCGCACGUAGGCGGCGAUUCAAGUCAGAGGUGAAAGCCCGGGGCUCAACCCCGGAACUGCCUUUGAAACUAGAUUGCUAGAAUCUUGGAGAGGUCAGUGGAAUUCCGAGUGUAGAGGUGAAAUUCGUAGAUAUUCGGAAGAACACCAGUGGCGAAGGCGACUGACUGGACAAGUAUUGACGCUGAGGUGCGAAAGCGUGGGGAGCAAAGCAG